rnacentral:tRNA from 1 species
GUCGGGGUCGCCUAGCCAGGUUAGGGCGCAGGUUUGCUAAACCUGUGGGCGUUAAAGGAGUUAGAAACAGCGGUAACCUGUUUCAGUCUGCACGAAGCCCCCGCGGGUUCAAAUCCCGCCCCCGACG